GCAGGAGCUCUUGGGUGGCUGUGGAGAUGGCUUGGCCGGGUGGUUCAGUCCUGGAAGGGGAGAUAGGAUUGGUUUCAUCCACCAUAAUGAGGGAAACAUUCAGAUUCCUGAAAAGGAUGUGUUUUUAUCUGCUGUUUCAUCAUGAAACCUACAAAAACCCACCUGCAGUAUAACUCCCAGGGCGUUGAGAUGCUGUUUGUUGUUCACCACCACAACUCGGCCUACAGACAGAGCUUUCAGUCCGUUGACCGACUCCAGAAGAGCAUGCUGGUGCCAAAGACAGCAGGUUAGACUGUGUGCAACACCGAGGGCCUUACCAGCAUCAUGACAUGCAGAUCAGACAUCUCAUGAACGCCAGCUUUACAAAGAAUGAUGACGGUCCCUGUGGCGUCAAGACCUCUCCUACCUGCUCUGCC